AGUACAAACAAAAGUUAUAAUAGUUGAUAAUCCAAAAAAAUAGAGAAAAAGCAUUUUAAGAUGUACAAUUCAUUCUUGUUUAAACACAUUAACAUUCAGUUGGCCUCAAGAAAUGAUUAAAUUCAAUUUUAAAAACUCCAAUAGUAUUGAUCUGCAGAGAAAAAAGCAACACGGGUGUAGUGAGGUAAUUGUUGUAGUACCAAAAUAAAACUAACUAAUUAAAGUAUUACAAGUCAUCAGGUCAGGAAGUGAAGUCAGAAUCAAGUAUUUCAAGUCAUCAAGUCAAGAGGUGAAGUCAGAAUAAAGUAUUACAAGUCAUCAGAUCAGGAAGUGAAGUCAGAAUAAAGUAUUACAAGUCAUCAAGUCAAGAGGUGAAGUCAGAAUAAAAUAUUACAAGUCAUCAAGUCAAGAGGUGAAGUCAGAAUAAAGUAUUACAAGUCAUCAAGUCAAGAAGUGAAGUCAGAAUAAAGUAUUACAAGUCAAGAAGUGAAGUCAGAAUAAAGUAUUACAAGUCAUCAGGUCAAGAAAUGAAGUCAGAAUAAAAUAUUACAAGUCAUCAAGUGAAGUCAAAAUAGAGUAUUACAAGUCAUCAGGUCAAGAAGUGAAGUCAGAAUAAAGUUGAACAGUCCAUCAGUGUAAGACCUUAUAUGGAUGUGAUGAUUCAUGUUCAGUCAAAGCACCUCUCCAACAUUCUCCCCUAUGCAAAUACUAAUUUUUAUUUUCUUGCUUCCCCACUCUCAAACUGUUGGGGAGAUUGAUGUGAAAAAUUCAAGAAAGUUAAUGUAAUCCUUUUUAAUGUAAGCAUUUGAAGACUUAUGUUAAGCUUACAACACUCAUUUUUUUUGUGCAAAUCUUGGAAGUUUUUACAUAAACCUCAUGGCAGACUUCUUUUGCAUGUAAGUAUUUGAAGCUUUACUUAAACCUUACAAGACACUUUCGCUUUUGUGUGAUUGUGCGUGUGAGCAUUUAAAGAUUUACAAAACCAAAACGUUUUUUUUCAUCGUAUAAACAUACGUAAAUUAAAAUUAA